rnacentral:tRNA from 1 species
GGUUGGGUGGCUCAGUGGUUAGAGCCUAGGGCUUUGGAGCGAAUGGUGCCGGGUUCGAAUCUCGUAAGAGGCA